ensembl:lncRNA
UGGCCGUAACGUAGGUUGCAUGCAUAGAUGCAGACCACCCGCGUGCAACGCUUUGCAACAUUACCUGUCGCGCGCUAAUAGAAGUUAAUAAGUUGCUAGUUAGCUAGACAACACUAGCUAGUUAGCGUGCAUGCUACGUGACACCAGCGAAGUUGAUGAUCUCAUUUGACGGGAUGUGAAACGUUAUGUCACGAGCCCACGCUAUCUAUGGCUUACUUUUGCAUACAUGGAAUUUAUAUAGCUAACUUGGCAAUAACGUUACAUAGAUUAGUCUAGAAAUCCUAGAAGGGAUGUUAUUAAACUGUAAGUCAGUUAACUAACGCUAGCUUUCCAAGUUGCAUUUCCAGAGUGUAGUUGUUCAAGUUCAAGGAGGUUCUGUUCAAGUAUUAAAAUUGUGACGUGAAAAUAUAAAUAAAUCUGCCAUAUUUGAAACAAUUUCAAUAGUUUUCAUGAGUGAAUGUCUAUUUCUAAAAUGAUACAAAUCAAGUUUUUAAUGUCCCGUAUCUACAGCAAUAUCCUAUCAUAAUAACAUAAUUAAUUCUAGUACAGGAGAGACUUUUCAAUAAUUAAAAAGCAGAGGUGUAUAUAUCGGUAUCGGCAUCGGCAAUCGGCCAAAAUGAGCUUGUAAAUAUCGGCAUAUCGGAUAUCGGCUAAAAUUCAAUAUCGUGCAGUGUAGUGUGUGUAGUGUGAUAGUGAUGUAUAACAGUGUAGUGUGUGUAGUGUGUAGUGUGUGUAGUGAUGUAUAACAGUAGUGUAGUGUGUGUAGUGCAGUGUAGUGCGUGUAGUGUGUGUAGUGUGAUAGUGAUGUAUAACAGUGCAGGGUGUGUAGUGUGAUAGUGAUGUAUAACAGUUGUGUGUGUAGUGUGUGUAGUGUGAUAGUGAUGUAUAACAGUAGUGUAGUGUGUGUAGUGUGUGUAGUGAUGUAUAACAGUAGUGUGUGUAGUGUGUGUAUGAUGUAUAACAGUUGUGUGUGUAGUGUGUGUAGUGUGAUAGUGAUGUAUAACAGUAGUGUAGUGUGUGUAGUGUGUGUAGUGAUGUAUAACAGUAGUGUGUGUAGUGUGUGUAGUGUGUGUAGUGUGAUAGUGAUGUA